GCAGACAUAAAUAUGGAUUAUGGAAUCAAAGAACUACUUUGCUUUUCUUCUUUAGGGUGAAUUACUAUUUUCCUCACGAGGUGUGACAAAAUAUGCAAAUUCAUCCUUGCUUUUUUAAAAGUGAACUAAAAGGUCCUUAAUAUUGGAUUCCAUUAAACAUUUAGAUCUUUUGUUAGAUAUUUUAGUCAAAGACAAAAGACAGAAAAAAAAGAGAUUCAAAUAAAUUUAUAAUUCCAUCACUAUCCUUGAAUAACAAAAUAAAAGAUAAUUGGUAAUUAAAGAGGGACAAAAUAAAUGUAAUUAACAAAAGCGAUGUGGACAGAAGCUUUUGGGUGGGUUUGGGAAGCAUCUUAUGCUUCAUUGGCAAUUUUGUCAUUAGAAGUAAUGAAUAGUUUUCAUUCUUCAAAUUGCAUUCGCCGUAAUUCAAGGUGAUGGAUCAAGGACAUAUUUUGAUGCAGAGAUGAGUAUAGGUUUUUGGUUUCCGGAUUUCUGUUUGGGUGUGAUCAAGGAGGCACAAUGUGGAGG
rnacentral:misc_RNA from 1 species